GGGCCUGUAGGGUAGCUUGGUCAAUCCUAGUGGCUUUGGGAGCCAUUGACUCCGGUUCAAAUCCGGGCAGGCCCA
rnacentral:tRNA from 1 species